rnacentral:rRNA from 1 species
GAUGAACGCUGGCGGCGUGCCUAAUACAUGCAAGUCGAGCGAACGGACGAGAAGCUUGCUUCUCUGAUGUUAGCGGCGGACGGGUGAGUAACACGUGGAUAACCUACCUAUAAGACUGGGAUAACUUCGGGAAACCGUAGCUAAUACCGGAUAAUAUUUUGAACCGCAUGGUUCAAAAGUGAAAGACGGUCUUGCUGUCACUUAUAGAUGGAUCCGCGCUGCAUUAGCUAGUUGGUAAGGUAACGGCUUACCAAGGCAACGAUGCAUAGCCGACCUGAGAGGUGAUCGGCCACACUGGAACUGAGACACGGUCCAGACUCCUACGGGAGGCAGCAGUAGGGAAUCUUCCGCAAUGGGCGAAAGCCUGACGGAGCAACGCCGCGUGAGUGAUGAAGGUCUUCGGAUCGUAAAACUCUGUUAUUAGGGAAGAACAUAUGUGUAAGUAACUGUGCACAUCUUGACGGUACCUAAUCAGAAAGCCACGGCUAACUACGUG